rnacentral:rRNA from 1 species
UGGGGAAUUUUGGACAAUUGGGCGAAAGCCUGAUCCAGCAAUGCCGCGUGUGUGAAGAAGGCCUUCGGGUUGUAAAGCACUUUUGUCCGGAAAGAAAUCCUUGGCUCUAAUACAGUCGGGGGAUGACGGUACCGGGAGAAUAAGCACCGGCUAACUACGUGCCAGCAGCCGCGGUAAUACGUAGGGUGCAAGCGUUAAUCGGAAUUACUGGGCGUAAAGCGUGCGCAGGCGGUUUGCUAAGACCGAUGUGAAAUCCCCGGGCUCAACCUGGGAACUGCAUUGGUGACUGGCAGGCUAGAGUAUGGCAGAGGGGGGUAGAACUCCACGUNUAGCAGUGAAAUGCGUAGAGAUGUGGAGGAAUACCGAUGGCGAAGGCAGCCCCCUGGGCAAUACUGACGCUCAUGCACGAAAAGCGUGGGGAGCAAACAGGAUUAGAUACCCUGGUAGUCCACGCCCUAAACGAUGUCAACUAGUUGUUGGGGAUUCAUUUCCUUAGUAACGUAGCUAACGCGUGAAGUUGACCGCCUGGGGAGUACGGUCGCAAGAUUAAAACUUAAAUGAAUUGACGGGGUCAUAGCUGUUUCCU